AUGUUUUAAAGAUGAAAAAUCAACUGAAAUUAAGCAGCGAUCGACUUUCCUGGGAUUUCAUGUGUGCAGCACCAACAAAGGCUUCAUGGAAGCAGCGGCACGACCUCACAGCCCGAGAGGCCGAGCCUCGACAACAACACAGAAAAGAUUCAGGCGUUUUUAAAAAGAUAAAAUGCUUUCUUCUAAGAGGCUUCUAAAGAUUUACAAAAAUGUAAAAAAAAAAGACAUCAAACAAGCAAAAAUAUUAAUGCUUUUAAUGUGAAAGAGACAUCCUCUGUCCACAGGAGCAGGACAGAGGUGAGCCUUCAGUCACCGUGUUUAUUAAAAUAAGAUCUGUAGCUGCAUGUGCUGCAUGUGCUGCAUGUGCUGCAUGUGCUGCAUGUGCUGCAUGUGCUGCAUGCGCCACAAGUCUACAGAGUUCUGCAAGUCAAAGGUCAUUUGAUUGUAACUUAAACAGCUCUACCAAGUCAGAAGUAACUCUAAUGAGGCAAUGAGGCCCCGGCGGUGGGGGGAAGGAUGUUUUUAUGACUCGCCUGUUUAAACUGUAUUAAGGGUUAAAGCAGAGUGGAGGAACUCCAGGCCUCGAGGGCCGGUGUCCUGCAGGUUUUAGAUGUGUCCUUGAUCCAACACAGCUGAUUUAAAUGGCCAAAUGACCUCCUCAAUAUGUCUUGCAGUUCUCCAGAGGCCUGGUAACGAACUAAUCAUUAAAUUCAGGGGUGCCGACCCAGGGUGAGCUCUAAAACCUGCAGGACACCGACCCUCAAGGCCUGGAGUUUCCCACCUGUGGCUUAAAGUUUGCAUUAUCAGGGGCGUGGCCUCCCUGAUGGACAGGUGGAUGGUGACACAGGAGCGCUAACGUUCCCUUCAAACUUUGACAGACGUCACGUCUGCAGUUUGGGAACAAAUAUUGGUUUUGCUGCAGAAAAUACUGGAAACGCCUAAACACUACAAACUCUGGACUUAUUUUCAACAACUUUUCAGCAGCUUGUUAACAUCACAUGACCUUUGACCCUUGGCAUCAAGCUACCAAUGAUGAUUCUCUAUGCAGAAAAAGCAUGAAGGCACACUCCAGGCCUAAGGAUGAAAUUCCUCCCACAUACAUGUGCUGCUGGGCGAAUAACGAGAGAACAUGUGGAGAUGAAGUGUAAGGUGAGCUGGUUCAGCUUUGAUCCGGUCUGAUCCAGUUUGCUGGGUCGGCGUGUUUCUGAGGAAAUGUCAGCGCUAAAUUUACCGGCUGACAAAGAAGCGUUACUCAUCCUCGGCGCACAAACACAAAUCUGUGCUUGAGCUCAACGCCUCCAUCUGUCACCGAGCUUCGCAGCCAAACAGUCUGCUGCUCUCCACUCACGGGACAAACCCAUAGCGAUGGAGUCCAGAGAAGAUAGCUCGCACAUCCACGCCUCGAACCGCUUUCAGCAUCGAUUAGACUGCAGACAGUUCUGACCAAGGUGCAGUUUGGGGGGAGGCAGGUGAGGAUAUUUCACACAGACAUGUGGACACAGCAGGAAGGCACCUGCUUCAGAUGGAAAUAUUCGUGGAUAGCAGGCGAGCAGCAGACACACCAGAGCGUAAGCUGCACCGUCAGCUUUUAAAGGUCAUUUUAGCAGCUACCCGCUGCAGAAGCCAAGUUAAACUUUCACCACUAGGGGCCACUGCUUUACCAGUAGUGCGUGUAUUGAGAUGUUUUUGGAUGAUUUUGGAUGCUUGGGAAUUCUCAACGUCACACUGAGAAUUCCCGAGCACCCAAAAAUAUCCAUGGGUUCCCGAUGGGCAAAGACAAACGCACAAAAGAGACUCCAAAAACGGACCCAGCAUCAGUCAAGAGUGACGCCAGCAUCACGAACAGGGCGGAGCAUGCGACCCAAACGCUCUACAGAAGCCAAGUUUGAUUCCCGAGGGCAUUUACUGUGUCUUCCCCCGCACGCGCUCCGCUGUCCUGUCUGAAUAAAGACUAAAGAGCCCAAAAACCGUGGGCGAGGUUACUAAUCUAAUCUCUUAAUCUUAGUCACAUAAGAGUGGUUCAAUAAAACACAGAAAAUGACCUGGGAGUGACCACUGAAGGACUGAACUCCAGCUCCCAUGAUGCACUGCAGCAGAACAUAAUGUUCUCACAAGCUGCCCCCAACUCUGAACCAGAUGAUGUAAUGCAUCUGCAGAGUGUGUGUGUGUGUGUGUGUGUGUGUGUGUGUAGGCACGGUGAGGGAGAGGCUGCAGCAACAAGGAGAAGGAGAGACCUCCACAUCCCAACUGAUGAUGUCAUCUGCAGCCAAUCAGCUGAGAGUGCUCAGAGCCACACCUUCUGUGUGUGUGUGUGUGUGUGUGUGUGUGUGUCUGAUGUAAAAUCAGGUCAUAGAUUCAGCAGAAACAAUAACACAUUGAGCUUUUAUUUGAGCACUAAGGUGUUGCUGCAGAACAGAAAUGAGGCUGUUUGCAGCAGUGCAAUAGAAUAGAAUAGAUGUGAUGGGAACAGAGGAGGCGGGGCUCUGGCCAGUUCUGCAGGAUGCUUUUGAGGACAAACGGCAGCAGAAUAACUGGAAGAGGUGACAUCACCUCUGAGGCCGUAAGAUGAUGUCACCAACAGUGAGGUCAUUGCAAUGAAAUGGAUUCGGAGUGAUGUCAUCAUAAUGUGACUGAGUGAAAGCAAGAAAGUAAAGUGGAUGAGUCAUGCAGCUGAGGUGAGACUGGACAAACACAUUAGAGCAUCUUUUACUCAUGCUGUGAGGACAUAACCUGCAGUGUUACACAAACAUUAGAAUUAGGUUAGUAAUAGUAGUAAUGUUGGACUAUGGUUAGGGCAAGGUUACAGUAACAUUAGAGUAAGGUUAGGGUUAUAAUCAGGUUAGGUUGAGGUCAGGGUAACGUUGAGAAAACGUUUGUGUAAGGUUAGAGUUAGAGGGUUGGACAAAGGUACUGAUACUGACUCCCUGCUGAGCAGCUGCCUGUGGUACAGCGGCGUGUUCACUGUGUGGAGGGGGCGGGGCCCUGCAGGCUUCACUGGGCAAAGGGCGGCGUACAACCUGCACAGGUCGCCAGUACACAUGCCCACAGCCAAAUUGAAACAUCCACACGGCUACAAGUCUGACUAUGAGAAAAUAAGCUGAUGAUCUCAGUCGCUGGUUUCAAGUCUUGAAUAAAACGUGAAAUUAAUUUUGGCCUCACUACAGUCAGAAAAUAAGAACAACCCAGGCUCAUCAGCAUCCUUCAGUUUCUCACUUACAAUCAGGUUUAAAAGUAUUUUGGUGAAAAUGCUUCACAAUGGGAGGAGGUGACAUCACAGUGGCUGACCAUCUUUUAUAUACAGUCUCUGCCACCAACCUGUAAUGCAUGAGAAAUCCUCACCACUUACUCUGACACAUGAUCACCAUGUGACCGAUUGAAACUCGAAAAAUUCAGCUGAUGACCGACUGUAAGUUUGUCUGACUGUGGGGUGUGGGUGUGGGUUGGGGGUCUAAGCUGUCCUCCGUCUCCUCCGACUCCUGCUGCUGUGUUUUUGAAUAAAGUUUGGAAUGCUGGAGGAUUCAGAUUAAACAAAUGUGUUAAAUUCAUCGACAGGCACGAUGAUUUCUUUGUGCCACGAAACACUCGCUCGGUCCUGAAUGAAACGAGCUGGAGCGAUGUGUCGGCGAGGCAUCGUGACCGCAGCCCACUGUGGAAGAGGAGGAGGAGAGUGAGGGAGGGGCGAGCUUCAGGCUGAGGAGAGAGAGCAGCGUGGGCUGAAUAUCAGUGGAGGCGAGUAAACGCUGCGGGACGAGACUUCCAGAAAUUCACCUGAGUUCACCGCCGUGACUUUCUGUCGGAUCAUUUUUCACAGUUUGGGGGAAUUUUCACACUAAAAUCAAAUCCACAGAUUCUGCCUUUGGGCUCUGCUGCAGAUGAGACACACACGGAGACAUCAGCCGCAGAGAUGUUUGCCUUCUCUUGAAUAUAAAGGAACAGCAUGGCACACAUCUCACGGUGCUCCUCAGAGCUUCCCUCUCCUCUUUAGUCAAGACGGGGUCCAUGUUUUCCAAAAGAAUUUCACCUAUGGGCCCAUCUGACCUCAGAUCGGUUUUUCACAUUGCCUCAGUCAUGCAGAGAAGACGGCGCUUCUUCUCCUCAUGAUUGACCUUUAACCUGCAGGUGUGGACGUCACUGCCAGGCCCGCUCUAGCCUCCCUCUCUUCUUAACCUCAGUCGUAGUUCAGGAGCAGGUUCGGGCGUGGCAGUACAUCGACCUCUGCAUCAUCCAAUCACCUUCACCUUCCACACAGCAUUCACCUGACAUGACCUAACCCCGGGAACCCUACCGCUCCCCUCUGGACACCCUGAACUUCUUGCUGCCCUGGAUUUCCCAGCUCUGGCUCCGUAAGACCCGAUCUGAUAACAGAGCUUUUCAUCAGACGGGUCGUGACAGGCAGCGAGUCCUGGAGGUGCAUGGACUGAUCUCCAUCACAGAAUCACGCCUGUGCUUAAUGCUUUGCUGUCUGAGGGUCUGAAGAUCACAGGCCUGCAGCCUUGCUCCUGCACACAGAGACUUCUCCAGGUCAUUUUGAUGGUAUUGUGCACACGAUGACAUAUUCAAGUCUAGCUGUAGUGUUUUUGCAGAUUGGUGAACGUGUGCGUGCUCGCCAAGAUUCCACUCUCCAAAUGUUCCUCCAGCAGUUUAUUUUUAGUACAAAUCUUUUUUUAUGAAACAGUUAAAUGAUCAAGUUUAAACAUUUGAUAAAUAAAUUGAAGAAAAAUAACAUAUGGUUUAUAUAACAUUCUAUUUUUAUCUUGAAUAGAAUAAAAAUAGAAUAACGUCCAUGUCGAGCACACGGGGUGAAAGACUAAAAUUACUUCCACCUGGUGGCAGUAGCCCUCAAAAACUAGCACGACUCUGACCAAGUGGCUAACAUUGCAUCUUCAGAACCAAUGGGUAACAGAGGCCUCGUCCAUCUUUCAUAUACAGUCUGUAUUGUUUGCUAGCUGCAGGCAGGUAAAGCUCGGUGAAGAUGAAACUUGCAGCAGGGUUUGUGAUUUUUUUCUUUUGGGGAGUUUUAAAAUUUUAGCUCUUGGUGACCUCACAGCGAGUCCCCUUCAGUCCCAUUGAUUAUCUGUCCACAUACUUCUGAACACUUGCAGUUACCUGAUUAUCCAUGUUAGACAAUAAAGUUUUAAAUGAGUUGAAAUCCUUCAACUUUCCAGGUUUACAUGAAAACCUGACAGAUUCAGGCCCACACUCUGCACACGGGAACGCGAGCCCCUCAUAUCUGUGUGUUGGAGUGAACGGCAUCGCCGAGCUGAAAGAACACAAACUUGUUUGAAGCUGUCAGUGUUUCGUGCAGGCGUGCCGUCUUCUCUGCGGCUUCGUGCUUUGUCCUUUUGAAAGCUGAAGUGAGCGGAGAGAUGAGUCAGAUGCUCUUCAGUCCGACCACGCUGCCGGAUUUCAGCGAGCGCGUAGGCGACAGAAGCGAGCGGCGUGUUGGCAGCUUGGUGGCAGAUGGUCGGCGGGCGGACGACCUGAAUCCAUUCACAGAGCUCAGACAUGAAUGAAGACGAGCACAUACACAACACACAAGCCAGUACCUCCAGAAACACCAGAGAACUGCUGUCAAGUGGGAGGUUUUCUUUCCUCCAUUCAUCCUUUCACAUCCUUUAUUUUACAAACUCAGUUUGUUGGGAACAUGCCGUCUCCUCCAGAGGAAAAACCUUUGCACACUUUUCAGCACCUCUUAAUAAAUUAAGCAGAAUUUGAAUCUUACUGAACAAAAGUAAAAAGCAGAAGAAUCCACGGCUGAAAUCCACAUCUGGUGGUUACCAGCUGUUUACCAGAUGCAAAGCAAAACGGCGACUCCACGAGCAUGCUUGCCCUCACACACUUUCACACAAUCACAAUGAAAUGUGAAGCAGAAUCCUGGCCCGCUGACGGAGGAAAUGAUGGGGUUUCAGAGCUGGAGCGAUACCACGGGUCAUCAUGGCGAAGUCUUCAAUGCUGUUUGGAUUCUCCAUCAGCUGAUGCAGAGCUCAUCGGAAUCAUCACUUUAAGAACUGAAGGUCAGUCAGUCCUGAAAACUGCUAAAACUCUGAAUGUGUCCCCAAGUGCAGCCCCAAAAACCAUCAAGCUCUACGAGGAAACUGGCCCACAUGAGGAAAUGAAGACCAAGAGUCACCGCUGCUGAGUCUGCAUUCAUCCGAGUCACCAGCCUCAGAAAUGGCAAGGUAACAGCAGCUCAGAUCAGAGACCAGUUCAAUGCCAGACACAUCUCUACAUCAGCUGUUCAGAGGAGACUGUGUAAAUCAGGCCUUUACGGUCAGGACUAAGGAAAAGCAACAAGCAGAAGAGAUUUGUUUGGGCCAAGAAACACAAGGAGUGGACUUUAGACCAGUGCACAUCUGUGAGUCUAAAUUUGAGACCUUUGGUUCCACCCGCCGUGUCUUUGUGUGACCCAGAAUAGGUGAACGAUGGUCUCUACAUGUAUGUUUCUCACUGUGAAGUAUGGAGGUGGUGUGAUGGUGUGGGGUGGGGGUGGGGGGGCUUUGCUGGUGACACUGUUGGGGAUUUAUUCAAAACUGAAGGCACACUGAACCAGCAUGGCUACCACAGCAUCCUGCAGCCACAUGUCAUCCCAUCAUUUAUUUUCUAAAGACAAACAGCCGACAUCGUACUUUAGUUUGACUCGUCUGUCCUUUAGUUUCUCACAGUGAAGCUCAUUUUGCCCACGAAACACUAGCAUGCUGCUAAUGCGUGCCGAUUGGUGGGUUUAGGACAGGACAUCCUCCCUUGAUGGUGCCCGUCUCAGGAAGGGCAGAGAGACGUUCUCCGUUAUUUCUCUGGACAUUUGUGACCAUCACAAGAACAUCGUCCAUGUUCUCUGAGAACAUUUCGAAGAACCUGGAUGCUUUGUAGCCGACUUUGUUAAGACUUACAGAAAGUGUCUGAGAGAAACACGGCAGACUUCGCCUGGUUUUCAUCAUUAUCGAUCAAUCAGCACUCAGAGACCUGUUAUUGUUCCGUAAACGUGGAGUUUGUUUCCUGACGUCUGAAUAAAGACGGAGCUUCUGGAAUCACAAGGUCGAGUCAAAGGCUUAAAACCAGUCCUGAUGUCAGAGCUCAUUUUAUUUUACAUGCCAUAAAUCCUUUCAGUACUUUCACAAACAAAACCAACAGUAAUGGAACAGAAGAUAUAAAAAUAUAGUUCUCUCUCUCUUUUUGGAAGGAGCAGCCAAUCAGGUCACCUGAUCAUACAGGAAGUUCAGCCCUCGCCUUGUCGUGUCUGAA